UGGGGAAUUUUGGACAAUGGGCGAAAGCCUGAUCCAGCAAUGCCGCGUGUGUGAAGAAGGCCUUCGGGUUGUAAAGCACUUUUGUCCGGAAAGAAAUCCUUGGCUCUAAUACAGUCGGGGGAUGACGGUACCGGAAGAAUAAGCACCGGCUAACUACGUGCCAGCAGCCGCGGUAAUACGUAGGGUGCAAGCGUUAAUCGGAAUUACUGGGCGUAAAGCGUGCGCAGGCGGUUUGCUAAGACCGAUGUGAAAUCCCCGGGCUCAACCUGGGAACUGCAUUGGUGACUGGCAGGCUAGAGUAUGGCAGAGGGGGGUAGAAUUCCACGUGUAGCAGUGAAAUGCGUAGAGAUGUGGAGGAAUACCGAUGGCGAAGGCAGCCCCCUGGGUCAAUACUGACGCUCAUGCACGAAAGCGUGGGGAGCAAACAGGAUUAGAUACCCUGGUAGUCCACGCCCUAAACGAUGUCAACUAGUUGUUGGGGAUUCAUUUCCUUAGUAACGUAGCUAACGCGUGAAGUUGACCGCCUGGGGAGUACGGUCGCAAGAUUAAAACUCAAAUGAAUUGACGGGGUCAUAGCUGUUUCCU
rnacentral:rRNA from 1 species